rnacentral:rRNA from 1 species
CCUACGGGCGGCAGCAGUGGGGAAUAUUGGUCAAUGGACGCGAGUCUGAACCAGCCAAGUAGCGUGAAUGAUGACUGCCCUCUGGGUUGUAAACUUCUUAUAUAAAGGCAUAAUACGAGGGUCGUGUGCCUUUUUGCAUGUACUUUAUGAAUAAGGAUAGGCUAACUCCGUGCCAGCAGCCGCGGUAAUACGGAGGAUCCGAGCGUUAUCCGGAUUGAUUGGGUGUAAAGGGAGCGUAGAUGGGUUGUUAAGUCAGUAGUGAAAGUUUGCGGCUCAACCGUAAAAUUGCAAUUGAUACUGGCAGUCUUGAGUACAGUUGAGGUAGGCGGAAUUCGUGGUGUAGCGGUGAAAUGCUUAGAUAUCACGAAGAACCCCGAUUGCGAAGGCAGCUUACUAAACUGUGACUGACAUUGAGGCUCGAAAGUGUGGGGAUCAAACAGGAUUAGAUACCCUAGUAGUC